rnacentral:rRNA from 1 species
CACACAGUAAACGAUGUGCACGAGGUGCUGGGGCGGUAGUUUCAGUGCCGGAGCGAACGCGGUAAGUGCACCGCCUGGGGAGUAUGCUCGCAAGGGUGAAACUCAAAGGAAUUGACGGGGGCCCGCACAAGCGGUGGAGCAUGUGGUUUAAUUCGAUGGUACACGAGGAACCUUACCUGGGUUUGACAUACGGAGGGAAGUGGCAGAGAUGUCACUGCGUAGAGAUACGGCUCCGUACAGGUGC